GAUGAACGCUGGCGGCGUGCUUAACACAUGCAAGUCGAACGAUGAAGCCCAGCUUGCUGGGUGGAUUAGUGGCAAACGGGUGAGUAACACGCGAGUAACCUGCCCUUGACUCUGGGAUAAGCAUGUGAAACUGGGUCCAAUAACUGAUAGGAACGUGCACCGCAUGGUGGGUGGUGGAUAGAUAUAUCGGUUAUGGAUGGACUCGCGGCCGAUCAGAUUGUUGGUGAGGUAAUGGCUCACCAAGGCGACGACGGGUAGCCGGCCUGAGAGGGGGACCGGCCACACUUGGACUGAGACACGGCCCAGACUCCUACGGGAGGCAGCAGUGGGGAAUAUUGCACAAUGGGCGAAAGCCUGAUGCAGCGACGCCGCGUGAGGGAUGACGGCCUUCGGGUUGUAAACCUCUUUCAGUAGGGAAGAAGCGAAAGUGACGGUACCUGCAGAAGAAGCACCGGCUAACUACGUGCCAGCAGCCGCAGUAAUAC
rnacentral:rRNA from 1 species